GGGCCCCGNACAAGCAGCGGNNCAUNCGGNUUAAUUGGACCGCAACGCGAAGGACCCUACCAACGCUUGACAUAUACAGGAAUAUGGCAGAAAUUCCAUAGCCCGCAAGGUCUGUAUACAGGUGGUGCAUGGUUUGUCGUCAGCUCGUGUCGUGAGAUGUUGGGUUAAGUCCCGCAACGAGCGCAACCCUCGUUCUGUGUUGCCAGCAUUUAGUUGGGGACUCACAGGAGACUGCCGGGGUUAACCUCGGAGGAAGGUGGGGAUGACGUCAAAUCAUCAUGCCCCUUAUGUCUUGGGCUGCACGCAUGCUACAAUGGCUGGUACAAACAGCUGCGAUACCGCAAGGUGGAGCGAAUCCGAUAAAGCCAGUCUCAGUUCGGAUUGGGGUCUGCAACUCGACCCCAUGAAGUCGGAGUUGCUAGUAAUCGUAGAUCAGCAACGCUACGGUGAAUACGUUCCCGGGGCUUGUACACACCGCCCGUCACGUCACGAAAGUCGGUAACACCCGAAGUCAGUGGCCCAACCGUAAGGGGGGAGCUGCCGAAGGUGGGAUCGGUGAUUGGGACGAAGUCGUAACAAGGU
rnacentral:rRNA from 1 species